rnacentral:rRNA from 1 species
GACGAACGCUGGCGGCGUGCUUAACACAUGCAAGUCGAGCGGUAAGGCCCUUUCGGGGGUACACGAGCGGCGAACGGGUGAGUAACACGUGGGUGACCUGCCCUCAGCUCUGGGAUAAGCCCGGGAAACUGGGUCUAAUACCGGAUAUGACUCCAUGACGCAUGUUGUGGGGUGGAAAGCCUUGUGCGGCUGAGGAUGGGCCCGCGGCCUAUCAGCUUGUUGGUGGGGUGAUGGCCACCAAGGCGACGACGGGUAGCCGGCCUGAGAGGGCGACCGGCCACACUGGGACUGAGAUACGGCCCAGACUCCUACGGGAGGCAGCAGUGGGGAAUCUUGCGCAAUGGCGAAAGCCUGACGCAGCGACGCCGCGUGAGGGAUGACGGCCU